rnacentral:rRNA from 1 species
AUGGGACCCGACUGUAAGGAGCUGACUUGGCAAAAUAAUCAUACCCAGACCCCUAGUAGAUUUUUAAAAAAGCAAUCAGCCCCCUGGACCAUGGCCGCUGCCUCGAUCCCAUCCGAUCGAGAGAGCCCGAGGCCGACCCCCGGCCGCCUCUUCGACCGCAUCGGCCAGCUCACGGGGCUCCGCCGCCUCAGCAUCCACGACAACGCCAUCGCCGGCGCCAUCCCCGCCGCCCUCGGCUUCCUCCCCGACCUCCGCGGCCUCUACCUGUUCAACAACCACUUCUCCGGCGCCGUCCCGCCGGAGAUCGGCCGCUGCGUCGCGCUGCAGUCCCUGGAUGCCAGCAACAACCGCCUCACCGGCGUCCUCCCGGCCUCGCUCGCCAACUCCACCAAGCUUAUCCGCCUCAACCUCAGCCGCAACUCCAUCUCCGGCGAGAUCCCGGCCGAGGUCGCGGCCUCACAAUCCCUCCUCUUCCUCGACCUGUCCUACAACAGGCUCUCCGGCCGCAUCCCUGACGCCUUCGCGGGCGGCUCCAAGGCGCCCUCGUCGGCCUCCUCCGACGAGCGGAAAUUAGAAGCCAUCACCGGGACCUACCAGCUCGUCUUCCUCGGCCUCGCGCACAACACGCUCGACGGGCCAGUGCCGGAGUCGCUCGCGGGGCUCACCAAGCUGCAGGACCUCAACCUCGUCGGACAACGGCUGGGGCUGGGAGCCGGAGGCCGCCGUGGCGGCGGACGAGUGGGGCGACGGGGUGAGGGGGAGGGGCUUGGGAGGGGCUUGAUUGCUUUUGUUUUUCUAGAUCCAAGGGGGUGUUUGUAA